GAUUAAUUGGUUCUUGGUUAUGUGACGUUCUAAGACCACGGUAGGUAUUGAUCGUUUGAGUUUGUAAGGUUGAAGGACCACCCAAAGAACCAUAAGGAGGAUCCACCGAGGGUGGUAUCCAGCUAUGAUUCCGGGUCGUUGGCAUGGCUUGGUUCAUGUCACGAACGUCAGGGAUUGGUGUCUGUAAAUGAAUCCGGUCACGGAUCAUUUGCUGUUGCAUCUGUGUUUGGGUUCACAACAACUCAGACACCAUUUCGGACAGUUGGUGUAAUGAGGGUGUUGGUUCCGUCCCGCCUGACACUGAAUUGAGAACGGCUGGUAGAGCAUUUGAAUUAACCGUACUACGGUCAGGGUAUACCGUGAUUUAGUUGCCUGAACCGAAGUCGGUAUAUGCGGGUUUAGAAUCGAAUCUGGUAUGAUUAAGGGUAAAUAUUGGGAUGGAACAGUAUUAUGAGUUGAACUCAUCGUCCCCCGUUCAAUCUCAAAACCAUGGAAGGCCGAGUUCAAACUUAAUCGGGAAUCGCCCAUCGGGAUUCCCGUAUUCGGUGAAGACAUCCAAAGUUCACGAAUCUUCGACUGAAAUUUUCCGAUCAGAUCUGCCUGGCGUGUAGCCGACUCGGGUUUUAACUUUAACCGAGCGGUUCGAUAACAA